AUACCAAUAUACAAAAAAAUUGGAACGAUACAGAGAUUAGCAUGGCCCCUGCGCAAGAAGGACACGCAAAUUUGUGAAGCAUUCCCUAUUUAA
rnacentral:snRNA from 1 species